AACGAACGCUGGCGGCAGGCCUAACACAUGCAAGUCGAACGCUCUAGCAAUAGAGAGUGGCAGACGGGUGAGUAACGCGUGGGAAUCUUCCUAUCGGUACGGAAUAGCUCAGGGAAACUUGGGGUAAUACCGCAUACGCCCUUCGGGGAAAGAUUUAUCGCCGAUAGAUGAGCCCGCGUCUGAUUAGCUAGUUGGUGAGG
rnacentral:rRNA from 1 species